rnacentral:lncRNA from 1 species
GGGGAAUAGUACUUUAGAGGUGUGUCAGCAGCUAAUUAGUCAAAAUAUGUUUUUUUCUGGAAGUUUAAUAUGAUUAGCUUUUCAUUAAUUGGAUUAUCAAAUAGUCCGUGAGCCCAUGUAUUUCUUCUACUUGUAAUUAUAGGAAGGAGAUGGGCUGGAAACAUGGCACCACUACCUGUCCUGGGGGUCCAGGCUGUGCACCUGCCUCCAGGGAGCCCCAGGAGCUUCAGAUGCUUCCUAGGAGGAGAGGCUGGGAGGAGGAGGUAGCAAAGCUCUUGAAAGUGAUUGACAGUGGGGGCAACCCAUCUCUACACCAAGUCACAUUGAUUCCACAAAGGCCUUAACAUAAAUUGAAAGAAAACACUAGAAUGCAGACAUCCUGUUUAUUGAAUAUUAUAUUUCUUAGGAUCUUGGAUCAUUUGUAUUUUUUAUCACACAGUGGACCAUAACAACUAUUUCCCCAGAUGUGAUAUUGUUGAUUUUUCUAAUCUAAAAGCAUUAGAUCAUAAAUAAUUGGUAUGACUUUCCACAGAACGCCAGCUGUGCCGCUCCUGAUAUCUGGGUGUCUCUGAAAAUCCAGGGUCCAUGGGAACAAAUGUCUUUACAUUGGCUCAAAAACCCACAAUGAAAAGCCAGAGCGCUUCAGCCCUCUGCGUUCAUCCGAUAACACGCCCAAUGGGAACGGAUGCAGAGACUGGGGAGAGGCAAAGGGGACUCCGCCCAUUUCUGAAGGUCCCACCGGGCACACUCUGUGUUUUCUGUGGGCACCAUGGCUCAUGCUGUGGUCAGGGUACAUUUUCUGAAAUGUGUAUGAUGCACCCAGCAUAGCGCUGGGCUCUGUGCAGAAGCUGUUUCAUUUACUCUUCACAAAAGAGUGGCUGAGAGGCAGAGGCCAGAGGACCCACCAGGUUCACAGUUCAGGUGACUUCUGGUCUUGCCCACUGGAAGCGGAGAUGGCUCACAGCAUUCCUUGUACAUAGACUUUCUCCCUGGCAGGCACACAGCUCUGUUCCAUGUCACCUGGGUCCCUCUUGCCGUUGUCUUUCAAAGGGCAGUUGAGAUGGGAAAUUCUGGCUCUGAGCCCACCAAUCACGGCCCCACCAAAAUGAACAUUUCCGGUUCCAGAAGCAGGAGGCCUCUGGGAAAGGGCGUGGGGUGAAGGGGGGACCCAAUGGAGGGCCGAGCCCAGCAGUGGAAGGCUGCGAUCCAAGGCUGUUUCCAGAUUCCACCUCCAGGACUGACCAGGCAGAAAGACUCCAGGUCCCCAGACUGUAUUUGGUGAAAUUCCUAAAACCCAGGGGGAAUUGUGUAAAGCAACUCUCACAUUCACUUGUUUUUUUAAGCAUUAUAUCAGAAGACAUUCUUACAAGAUGAAUAUGCUGAAAUCAUUUCCAGAAAAGUUUGAUUUCCUUCUGCUAACCACUCCUCAUCCCUAGAGAAAGUGAAUAUUUCUCUUAGUAUGAAGGGCAAGCAUGUUAAUGCUGCCUCAGAUAGGAGCUGGUUCAGGCCUCCCAAUGCUUAGCAUUGAAAAACUCAGGUUUAAGUUGAGUUUGGCAUUUGAGUAAAUCCUUGCCUAUGCAAGAUACUUCAUGAACGUUACACUUACCAGUCCUUUUCCCAGGGGUAGGGUAAGAGAGAUUAAAAAGUCUGCAGUAACGGUGUCUUAUGAGCAAGCUAGUUGAUUUAUAAGCAGUAAGCUGCACACGCUGUUGUGCACCACCUAUGCAUCCUGUGCAGUGAGCUGGUGAAAUCUGACGAAUCAAGCUGGGGCAGGUGAGCGUUGUGCUACCAUCGUGGUGCUUGGAAAACACCCCAGAAUAGAAACAGAAAUUUCCGCAGUUUCUAAAACAAUAUCACGUUGCAUAGAUUCCAGACUCAUGCUUUUGUUUUUCUAGUGAGAAAGGGAAGCAUGAAGGUUGCUUUCUUCGUUCUCUGCACAGGUGAUGAACAAGGCACGUCUUCGCCGUGGAUUCUGCCUGCACAGAAGACCUGAGAUGCGCGAUGUCAGGCCCGUCCCUAACAGGAGGAAAUCUCUCCAUGUCGCCUUCAUUUAGGAUUUUUUUAAAUUAUAGAAAAACAGCGGCCUCUUGGAAUGAAAACCACAUUCUCCCGCCCAUCGCAGUAAGUGCGGCCAUGUGUGUAAUUUCCGGACAAAGGAUGGGAAAGAAAUGGGGGCACGGCUCCGGGAGCCCUGCCCGAGGCUGCGUCCUGGCCCA